rnacentral:rRNA from 1 species
CCUACGGGAGGCAGCAGUGGGGAAUCUUGCACAAUGGGCGAAACCCUGAUGCAGCGACGCCGCGUGAGUGAAGAAGGAAUUCGUUAUGUAAAGCUCUAUCAGCAGAGAAGAAAAUGACGGUACCUAAGUAAGAAGCCCCGGCUAACUACGUGCCAGCAACCGCGGUAAUACGUAGGGGGCAAGUGUGAUCCGGAUUUACUGGGUGUAAAGGGAGCGUAGACGGUGGUGCAAGUCUGGAGUGAAAGCCGGGGGCUCAACCCCCGGACGGCACUGGAAACUGGACGGCUGGAGUGCAGGAGAGGUAAGUGGAAUUCCUAGUGUAGCGGUGAAAUGCGUAGAUAUUAGGAGGAACACCAGUGGCGAAGGCGGCUUUCUGGACUGUAACUGACGUUGAGGCUCGAAAGCGUGGGGAGCAAACAGGAUUAGAUACCCCAGUAGUC